rnacentral:lncRNA from 1 species
CCUGUUUUGUGGAAGAAAGGAGGCUGUCUCUGCCUUCUCUGAUGGGACUGGAGUUGAGGGAAGGAGCUGUAUUGUGGCACUUCUGAAUUCCCCGUUUUGUUCCAUAUUGGUAUAGAGAGCAGAAGAGUAGCUAGGCAGAUGCAGAGAUGGAGACAUGAGACUCAGUGCAGUGGGCAGGGAAGACAUAACAGAUGGAAGCAAAGGAAUCCUGCCUGCCUUCAGCAGAGAAUUCACCGAAUCCUAGAACUGUGGCUCCCUCCAGGCAGAGCCUAAGAUGCUGGUGAAGAAUAGCUGUGUGAUUGAAUAGGCUCAAAGGAGAGUUCAGAAUUCCCAUUUACAUAUUACUAGUUUGGUUUGUAAGUUUUAGUUCCUUGUAUUAUUGAGAUUCAGAGCUUCAUUUUAUGUUGGUCAUUAGGUGAAUAUUACUCAUUUUCCCUCAAGAGAAGCUCAUAAGUGUGUGUGGGUGUGAGAGCACGAUGGUGCCUGUGUUCUGUGAAUGUGUCCAUAUGUGUCUGUAAGAGAGACAGAGACCAAGAACUUGCCCAAUUUUAGAAAUACACUAAUGUGCAGUUGUUGCCUUUUGUCUGUAUUGAAGGCCCAUUGAAUGACUAAUCCAGGCUGGAAGCAUUCCCAUGUGGGUGUCUGAGUCCAUGAGCCAAGCCUGAGGGGACAGUGAGUCUCCAGGUCUGCCACACUGGUGCACCUUGCUGGCACGGUGCCUCAGGAAGGUGGCGACUCAGGUGGGCCUUGAGUUAUAUUUUAACUCAGCUGCUCAGUUCCCAGGGCACAUUUCUGGAUCAGAACCCAUGGGAAACAGGAGGUACUAAGUGCAAUGUCUUAGCAUUCUGCAAAAUGGAGAUCUGUUGUCCAGCGGCUUAUCUCCUUUUUAGUAACCCUUCUUUCUGAACCCAGGGCCCUUUUCAGCCUUCCCUCAUAUUUUCUUGAGAUCAAACUUUACUUCUUUCUUAUUUACUAAGAAUUUGCCUGUUUGAAUAAGAACAAAACGCUAAGGUGGGUAGCCUAAGCUGAUUUUCUGCUGGUUACACGUGUCUCUCACACCACAUUUCCUCAAAGCUAAUCUGAAUUCUGUAGGCUAAAAAUAUUCAUGUAGCAAAUCUGAGAAUUGAAAACUGCAGAUAACCGGCCGGGUAUGGUGACUCAUGCCUGUAAUCCUAGCACUUUGGGAGGCCGAGGUGGGUGGACCACCUGAGGUUAGGACUUCAAGACCAGCCUGGCCAACAUGGUGAAACCCCAUCUGUACUAAAAAUACAAAAAUUUGCCUGGUGUGGUGGUGCAUGCCUCUAGUCCUAGCUACUCGGGAGGCUGAGGCACGAGAAUCACUUGAACCUGGGAGGCGGAGGUUGCAGUGAGUCGAGAUAACACUACUGCAUUCCAG